rnacentral:rRNA from 1 species
UACGUAGGUGGCGAGCGUUGUCCGGAUUUACUGGCGUAAAGGGAGCGUAGGCGGGCUUUUAAGUGAGAUGUGAAAUACUCGGGCUCAACUUGAGUGCUGCAUUUCAAACUGGAAGUCUAGAGUGCAGGAGAGGAGAAUGGAAUUCCUAGUGUAGCGGUGAAAUGCGUAGAGAUUAGGAAGAACACCAGUGGCGAAGGCGAUUCUCUGGACUGUAACUGACGCUGAGGCUCGAAAGCGUGGGGAGCAAACGGG